rfam:Loxodonta africana unplaced genomic scaffold scaffold_43, whole genome shotgun sequence.
GCCCCUGUGACGCAUUGGUUAAGUGCUUAGCUGCUAACUGAAAGGUUGGUGGUUCGAACCCACCUGGUGGCU